GAAGGGGAGCCUUGAAUGCGAGGAAGACAUUUGGAGGAUGGACUUCAAUGCACUUCUUCCUUCUUUCUCUUGUAUUUACUCUAGAGAGGUUUUGGUAGGUGGAAAAUCCCUUUUUCUUUGAAUGGAGUCUCUUACUUGGUGUCUAUUACUGUUCAAUCUGGCUAUUUAAGCAAUCCUCAUAGAAAACUAUCCGUUAGACUCACUUUUAGGGCCGUUCUGCACAAUCUGCAACUCCUGAUACAGUGUCCGUUGGGAUCGGAGUCGACUCGGCUAUUACUGGAGUCGACUCAUGCUUUACUGGAGACGACUCGCCCACUGUUCAGGAUUUGAAUUAAAGUGCUGUCCCGUUCUGGAGUCGACUCGGCCA
rnacentral:lncRNA from 1 species